rnacentral:snRNA from 1 species
GAGCCCUCUAUGGCUCAUUUUGGCAAAUUGUGAGGUUUAGCAUGGCCUCUGUAGGAGGAUAACAUGCAGAUUCAUGAGUUAUUCCAUAUUUUA